rnacentral:rRNA from 1 species
UACGAAGGGGGCUAGCGUUGCUCGGAAUCACUGGGCGUAAAGCGCACGUAGGCGGGCUCUUAAGUCGGUGGUGAAAUCCUGGAGCUCAACUCCAGAACUGCCUCCGAUACUGAGAGUCUUCGAGUCCGGGAGAGGUGGGUGGAACUGCGAGUGUAGAGGUGAAAUUCGUAGAUAUUCGCAAGAACACCAGUGGCGAAGGCGGCUCACUGGCCCGGUACUGACGCUGAGGUGCGAAAGCGUGGGGAGCAAACAGG